AGUGAACGCUGGCGGUGGGCCUAACACAUGCAAGUCGAACGGCAGCACAGUAAGAGCUUGCUCUUACGGGUGGCGAGUGGCGGACGGGUGAGGAAUACAUCGGAAUCUACUUUUUCGAGGGGGAUAACGUAGGGAAACUUACGCUAAUACCGCAUACGACCUACGGGUGAAAGCAGGGGAUCUUCGGACCUUGCGCGAUUGAAUGAGCCGAUGUCGGAUUAGCUAGUUGGCGGGGUAAAGGCCCACCAAGGCGACGAUCCGUAGCUGGUCUGAGAGGAUGAUCAGCCACACUGGAACUGAGACACGGUCCAGACUCCUACGGGAGGCAGCAGUGGGGAAUAUUGGACAAUGGGCGCAAGCCUGAUCCAGCCAUACCGCGUGGGUGAAGAAGGCCUUCGGGUUGUAAAGCCCUUUUGUUGGGAAAGAAAAGCAGCAGGUUAAUACCCCGCUGUUCCGACGGUACCCAAAGAAUAAGCACCGGCUAACUUCGUG
rnacentral:rRNA from 1 species